rnacentral:piRNA from 1 species
UCUAGAUUCUAAAAGCAUUGGGGGUAGAGC